UGGGGAAUAUUGGACAAUGGGGGCAACCCUGAUCCAGCCAUGCCGCGUGUGUGAAGAAGGCCUUUUGGUUGUAAAGCACUUUAAGCAGUGAAGAAGACUCCAUGGUUAAUACCCAUGGACGAUGACAUUAGCUGCAGAAUAAGCACCGGCUAACUCUGUGCCAGCAGCCGCGGUAAUACAGAGGGAGCAAGCGGUAAUCGGAAUUACUGGGCGUAAAGCGAGCGUAGGUGGCUUGAUAAGUCAGAUGUGAAAGCCCCGGGCUUAACCUGGGAACGGCAUCUGAUACUGUUAGGCUAGAGUAGGUGAGAGGAAGGUAGAAUUCCAGGUGUAGCGGUGAAAUGCGUAGAGAUCUGGAGGAAUACCGAUGGCGAAGGCAGCCUUCUGGCAUCAUACUGACACUGAGGUUCGAAAGCGUGGGUAGCAAAUA
rnacentral:rRNA from 1 species